rfam:Glycine max cultivar Williams 82 chromosome 17, whole genome shotgun sequence.
GGUCUAUUAGCUCAGUUGGUUAGAGUGUUAUGCUAAUAACACGAAAGUCACAAGUUCAAUUUUUGCUUGGACCA